GACGAACGCUGGCGGCGUGCCUAACACAUGCAAGUCGAGCGGAGUCGAUCGACGGAAGCCUUCGGGCGGAAGAUGGUUGACUUAGCGGCGGAUGGGUGAGUAACGCGUGGGCAACCUGCCUCGAAGACCGGGAUAACAGCCCGAAAGGGCUGCUAAUACCGGAUGUGGUCAAGGAUCCGCAUGGAUUUUUGAUUAAAGGGGAAACCCGUUUCGAGAUGGGCCCGCGUCCUAUCAGCUAGUUGGUGAGGUAAAAGCUCACCAAGGCGACGACGGGUAGCCGGCCUGAGAGGGUGACCGGCCACACUGGAACUGAGACACGGUCCAGACUCCUACGGGGGGCAGCAGUGGGAAUCUUCCACAAUGGGCGAAAGCCUGAUGGAGCGACGCCGCGUGAGCGAAGAAGGCCUUCGGUUGUAAGACUCUGUCUGGAGGACGAAGGAAGUGACGGUACCUCCGGAGGAAGCCACGGCUAACUACGUG
rnacentral:rRNA from 1 species